rnacentral:lncRNA from 1 species
AUGCCCCAAAUCGUCCACCGACCUCGCUCGACCUACCUUGCAGGGCUCCAGUUCUGCAACUCAGGCAGGCAAGCAUACAAGCAAGCGCAAGCACCCAGCUCCUUCAUCCCGGGAGCCACCGAGGAAGAGGAAGAAAGCUCCUUCCAGACCUCACAGGGACCCUCUUUGGAUGAGUCCAAUCACCUUCCUUCUGAGGAUGGGGCAUCACAGGUUCCUGAAGACGCUGAAGUCUCUGAGGGUGAAUUAUCCCAGGACUCCAGCGUCCUCUCAGACGUGGAGUCUCAACAGCAUGCCCCUGCCCACCUCUUUGAUCUGGAAGGCUUCCCUAGGCUAGUCCAAAAGGCUUCCUCCUGCCUCGACCUACAGCCUGCCGCCAUGGGUCCAGGGCCUUCAUCUUCUCAGGCAGCAGCGCUCCUGCUCCCUCCACCUAAGCNUUCAGAUAGCCUACCCAUCCCAAACCUUUUCCAGGAAAUGGUCUUGGCUGAAUGGGAAUACCCAUCUAAGCCUCUCAAGUUGCCACCCCUGUCUAGGAAGUGGUUUGGCGCUGACCUCAGGGCGCAGGAUAUGUGGUCCGUGCCACUACUGGAUUCCGCAGUGGCUGGAAUUAUAUCGAAGUCCACCCUAGCUUCUGAUGGAGAUUGCCUGCUGAAGGAUCUUUCAGACAGGAAAAUCGAGGCCUCCCUGUGUAGGAAUUUUGAGGCGGGGUCCCUAAUCACGUGGGCCUCCACAAAUAUAUNGCUGUUCUCCAGGGCAGCACUCAAGUGGGCCAACCAGAUCCUUGCCUCUGAGGAUUUGCUGACAGCAAUCAAAGCUCCUCUAAAAGAUAUUAGAAAGGUGCUGGCCCUNUCAGCAGAUGCAGCCCUGGAUACCAUGACCCUGUCGGCCCGAGCACAGGCUCAAUCAGUCUCAGUUCAUAGGGCGCUAUGGCUAAAAUUCUGGUCCGUGGACAUUAAGGCUCGUAACAACCUUGCAUCAAAGCCUUUCUGGAGAAAGAAACUAUUUGGAGAUCAUGCCCUGGACCCAGUCCUGGUGGAGACCUGGGACAAGAGAAAAGCAUUGCCCUUCUCUGGCUCAUUGCGACGCAACAGGGAAGGCAAGGAUCCAAGCAGAUGUUCCUUUUGGAAUGCAACUUCCAGACAGCAGCCAUUUUGUACCAGGGACAGCUUCUCUCAGCAACAGCCCAAGUCGCAAUGGCCCAGAUUCAAGAGAUCCUCAGCUCAGUCUUACAACCGCCAGCAAUGA